GGGGCAGCCUAAACUGCAGUCGAGCGAGCUUGCCUAGAUGAUUUUAGUGCUUGCACUAAAUGAAACUAGAUACAAGCGAGCGGCGGACGGGUGAGUAACACGUGGGUAACCUGCCCAAGAGACUGGGAUAACACCUGGAAACAGAUGCUAAUACCGGAUAACAACACUAGACGCAUGUCUAGAGUUUGAAAGAUGGUUCUGCUAUCACUCUUGGAUGGACCUGCGGUGCAUUAGCUAGUUGGUAAGGUAACGGCUUACCAAGGCAAUGAUGCAUAGCCGAGUUGAGAGACUGAUCGGCCACAUUGGGACUGGGACACGGCCCAAACUCCUACGGGAGGCAGCAGUAGGGAAUCUUCCACAAUGGACGAAAGUCUGAUGGAGCAACGCCGCGUGAGUGAAGAAGGGUUUCGGCUCGUAAAGCUCUGUUGGUAGUGAAGAAAGAUAGAGGUAGUAACUGGCCUUUAUUUGACGGUAAUUACUUAGAAAGUCACGGCUAACUACGUGCCAGCAGCCGCGGUAAUACGUAGGUGGCAAGCGUUGUCCGGAUUUAUUGGGCGUAAAGCGAGUGCAGGCGGUUCAAUAAGUCUGAUGUGAAAGCCUUCGGCUCAACCGGAGAAUUGCAUCAGAAACUGUUGAACUUGAGUGCAGAAGAGGAGAGUGGAACUCCAUGUGUAGCGGUGGAAUGCGUAGAUAUAUGGAAGAACACCAGUGGCGAAGGCGGCUCUCUGGUCUGCAACUGACGCUGAGGCUCGAAAGCAUGGGUAGCGAACAGGAUUAGAUACCCUGGUAGUCCAUGCCGU
rnacentral:rRNA from 1 species